rnacentral:rRNA from 1 species
CCUACGGGUGGCAGCAGUGAGGAAUAUUGGUCAAUGGGGGGAACCCUGAUGCAGCGACGCCGCGUGGGUGAAGGAGUGCUUCGGCAUGUAAAGCCCUAUCGGCAGGGAAGAAGCAAGACGGUACCUGACUAAGAAGCCCCGGCUAACUACGUGCCAGCAGCCGCGGUAAUACGUAGGGGGCGAGCGUUAUCCGGAUUCACUGGGUGUAAAGGGAGCGUAGACGGCCAUGCAAGCCAGGGGUGAAAGCCCGGGGCCCAACCCCGGGACUGCCCUUGGAACUGUGCGGCUAGAGUGCGGGAGGGGCAGGCGGAAUUCCUGGUGUAGCGGUGAAAUGCGUAGAUAUCAGGAGGAACACCGGCGGCGAAGGCGGCCUGCUGGACCGCGACUGACGUUGAGGCUCGAAAGCGUGGGGAGCGAACAGGAUUAGAUACCCCAGUAGUC